rnacentral:rRNA from 1 species
UGGGGAAUCUUGCACAAUGGGGGAAACCCUGAUGCAGCGACGCCGCGUGGGUGAUGAAGGUCUUCGGAUCGUAAAGCCCUUUCGGCAGGGAAGAGUAAAGACGGUACCUGCAAAAGAAGCCCCGGCUAACUACGUGCCAGCAGCCGCGGUAAUACGUAGGGGGCCAGCGUUGUUCGGAAUUACUGGGCGUAAAGAGCGCGUAGGCGGCGCAGUGUGUUUGGUGUGAAAUCUCCCGGCUCAACCGGGAGGGGCCAUCGAAAACUGCUGUGCUUCGGGUAUGGGAGAGGGGAGUGGAAUUCCCGGUGUAGCGGUGAAAUGCGUAGAGAUCGGGAGGAACACCAGCGACGAAGGUGGCUCCCUGGACCAUUACCGACGCUGAGGCGCGAAAGCUAGGGGAGCAAACAG